AGAGUUUGAUCCUGGCUCAGGACGAACGCUGGCGGCGUGCUUAACACAUGCAAGUCGAACGAGAAUCGCUGGAAGGAGUUUUCGGACAACGGAAGGCGAGGACAGUGGCGGACGGGUGAGUAACGCGUGAGGAACCUGCCUUUCAGAGGGGGACAACAGUUGGAAACGACUGCUAAUACCGCAUAACAUAUAGAUGUCGCAUGGCAUUUAUAUCAAAGAUUUAUCGCUGAAAGAUGGCCUCGCGUCUGAUUAGCUAGUUGGUGAGGUAACGGCCCACCAAGGCGACGAUCAGUAGCCGGACUGAGAGGUUGAACGGCCACAUUGGGACUGAGAUACGGCCCAGACUCCUACGGGAGGCAGCAGUGGGGAAUAUUGGGCAAUGGGCGCAAGCCUGACCCAGCAACGCCGCGUGAAGGAAGAAGGCUUUCGGGUUGUAAACUUCUUUUAAGAGGGAAGAGCAGAAGACGGUACCUGACGAAUAAGCCACGGCUAACUACGUGCCAGCAGCCGCGGUAAUACGUAGGUGGCAAGCGUUGUCCGGAUUUACUGGGUGUAAAGGGCGUGUAGGCGGAGAUGCAAGUUGGGAGUGAAAUCCAUGGGCUCAACCCAUGAACUGCUUCCAAAACUGUAUCCCUUGAGUAUCGGAGAGGCAAGCGGAAUUCCUAGUGUAGCGGUGAAAUGCGUAGAUAUUAGGAGGAACACCAGUGGCGAAGGCGGCUUGCUGGACGACAACUGACGCUGAGGCGCGAAAGCGUGGGGAGCAAACAGGAUUAGAUACCCUGGUAGUCCACGCUGUAAACGAUGAAUACUAGGUGUGCGGGGACUGACCCCCUGCGUGCCGCAGCUAACGCAAUAAGUAUUCCACCUGGGGAGUACGAUCGCAAGGUUGAAACUCAAAGGAAUUGACGGGGGCCCGCACAAGCGGUGGAUUAUGUGGUUUAAUUCGAAGCAACGCGAAGAACCUUACCAGGGUUUGACAUCCUGCUAACGAAGUAGAGAUACAUUAGGUGCCCUUCGGGGAAAGCAGAGACAGGUGGUGCAUGGUUGUCGUCAGCUCGUGUCGUGAGAUGUUGGGUU
rnacentral:rRNA from 1 species